GUCCUUGUAAUGUAGCGGUUAUCACGUCUGCUUUACACGCAGAAGGUCUCUGGUUCGAUCCCAGGCAAGGACA
rfam:Trichuris trichiura, WGS project CBXK01000000 data, contig: TTRE_258